GGGUUGUGAGGUUAAGCGACUAAGCGUACACGGUGGAUGCCCUGGCAGUCAGAGGCGAUGAAGGACGUGCUAAUCUGCGAUAAGCGUCGGUGAGGUGAUAUGAACCGUUAUAACCGGCGAUUUCCGAAUGGGGAAACCCAGUGUGUUUCGACACACUAUCAUUAACUGAAUCCAUAGGUUAAUGAGGCGAACCGGGGGAACUGAAACAUCUAAGUACCCCGAGGAAAAGAAAUCAACCGAGAUUCCCCCAGUAGCGGCGAGCGAACGGGGAGGAGCCCAGAGCCUGAAUCAGUGUGUGUGUUAGUGGAAGCGUCUGGAAAGGCGCGCGAUACAGGGUGACAGCCCCGUACACAAAAAUGCACAUAUUGUGAGCUCGAUGAGUAGGGCGGGACACGUGGUAUCCUGUCUGAAUAUGGGGGGACCAUCCUCCAAGGCUAAAUACUCCUG
rnacentral:rRNA from 1 species